rnacentral:rRNA from 1 species
AUACGGAGGGUGCAAGCGUUAAGCGGAAUUACUGGGCGUAAAGCGCGCGUAGGCGGUUUGAUAAGUCGGAUGUGAAAUCCCCGGGCUCAACCUGGGAAUUGCAUUCGAUACUGUCAGGCUAGAGUGUGGUAGAGGGAAGUGGAAUUUCCGGUGUAGCGGUGAAAUGCGUAGAUAUCGGAAGGAACACCAGUGGCGAAGGCGGCUUCCUGGACCAACACUGACGCUGAGGUGCGAAAGCGUGGGGAGCAAACAGGAUUAGAAACCCCAGUAGUCC